AGUGAACGCUGGCGGUAGGCCUAACACAUGCAAGUCGAACGGCAGCACAGUAAGAGCUUGCUCUUACGGGUGGCGAGUGGCGGACGGGUGAGGAAUACAUCGGAAUCUACUUUUUCGUGGGGGAUAACGUAGGGAAACUUACGCUAAUACCGCAUACGACCACGGGUGAAAGCAGGGGAUCUUCGGACCUUGCGCGAUUGAAUGAGCCGAUGUCGGAUUAGCUAGUUGGCGGGGUAAAGGCCCACCAAGGCGACGAUCCGUAGCUGGUCUGAGAGGAUGAUCAGCCACACUGGAACUGAGACACGGUCCAGACUCCUACGGGAGGCAGCAGUGGGGAAUAUUGGACAAUGGGCGCAAGCCUGAUCCAGCCAUACCGCGUGGGUGAAGAAGGCCUUCGGGUUGUAAAGCCCUUUUGUUGGGAAAGAAAAGCAGCAGGUUAAUACCCCGCUGUUCUGACGGUACCCAAAGAAUAAGCACCGGCUAACUUCGU
rnacentral:rRNA from 1 species